UGGGGAAUUUUGCACAACGGGGGAAACCCUGAUGCAGCGACGCCGCGUGAUUUAGAAGGCCUUCGGGUUGUAAACAUCUUUUCUAUGGGAAGAAAAUGACAGUACUAUAGGAAUAAGGACCGGCUAAUUACGUGCCAGCAGCCGCGGUAAUACGUAAGGUCCGAGCGUUGUCCGGAAUCAUUGGGCGUAAAGGGUACGUAGGCGGGUAAGCAAGUUAGAAGUGAAAUCCUAUAGCUCAACUAUAGUAAGCUUUUAAAACUGCUCAUCUUGAGGUAUGGAAGGGAAAGUGGAAUUCCUAGUGUAGCGUUGAAAUGCGCAGAUAUUAGGAGGAAUACAGGUGGCGGGGGCGAAUUUCUGGCCAUAACCUGACGCUGAGGUACGAAAGCGUGGGUAGCAAACAGG
rnacentral:rRNA from 1 species